CAAACACAUGCAUCUUCGCUAAAAACCUUUAAAUUUUAGCAAUGAUCACACUGUAAAACUUUUUACUGUAAAAUUACAGUAACUUACAGGAGAAACUGCUGCCAGUAUUUUAUUUUAAAAUUUACAGUAUCUCUACUGUAUCAAAGAAUACAGCAGCUUACUGUAAUCAAAGCAUACAGUAAUUUGCUGUAAUAAUUCAAAAAUAACAGUAAAAUACUGGCAGCAGUUUCGCCAGUAAGGUUACUGUACAAUUUACAGUAUCUGUACUGUAUCGCAAGAAUACAACAGCUUACUGUAAUCAAGGCAUACAGUAAUUUGCUGUAAUAAUUCCAAAUAAUACAGUAAUUUAUUGGUAGCAGUUUCACCAGCAAGAUACUGUACACUUUACAGUAUCUCUACUGUAUCGGAGAUAUACAGUAACUUGUUGUAAUCAAAAUGUCCAAUAAUUUCCUGUAAUAAUUCCACAAAUUACAGUAUUUUAAGCAUCUAUAAAAACUAACAAGCAAAUGAAAAAUAACAAUUUAGAACAAUAAACACAACAACAUGGCAUAUUCAUAUUAUUCUUGUUUAUUAUAAUAACCUGAGUUUGACAGAAAAUAACAUCCAAAUAAAACAUUCAAAUACUCAAGCCCUUACAAAUAAAAAUAGUGUGAUGAGUUGUGAGUGAGUAAGAGACACAGUGUGUGUGUGUGUGUGUGUGUGUGUGUGUGUGAAUCUG